UACGUAGGCAGCGAGCGUUGUUCGGAAUUACUGGGCGUAAAGAGUGUGUAGGCGGUGCUCUAAGUCUGUCGUGAAAUCUCCCGGCUUAACCGGGAGGCUGCGGCGGAAACUGGUGUGCUAGAGGGUGGGAGAGGUAAGCGGAAUUCCUGGUGUAGCGGUGAAAUGCGUAGAGAUGUGGAGGAAUACCGAUGGCGAAGGCAGCCCCCUGGGUCAACACUGACGCUCAUGCACGAAAGCGUGGGGAGCAAACAGG
rnacentral:rRNA from 1 species